rnacentral:lncRNA from 1 species
GCCUCUACUGCAUUUUGUCUGUGACCUCUGAACUAUGACCUUUGACCACCAUUAGGGGUGAUAGAGAAACAGCCCUUAUAACACUGGAUCAAUAACGCACUUUAAAACAUGAACAACCAGCACCAGCACAAAGGACACUUAAUGUAAAAUAUUUUCUAGUUAAAUUAUUAUUCUGAACCAUCUGCCCAGACUGAGCUGCUAAAUACUCACUCAAACCAGGAAGACGGGCAAUUUUAAGCAACACUGCAAUGUUUGAAAAUCAGGCCAUUAGGGAAACUCUACAAAACAAAUUAAACUUGGUGAAAGAGUGAAUGCAACAAAGAUUACUGAGAACAAUUACCCAAGAGUGACAAGUCAGUUGCCUACUCAGGAUCAACGUGACACAGAACACUUUUAAAAAGCAGACGCAUUCUUCAAAAAGUAACAAGUAUUGAUUUUACAAAUACAUAAUUAACUUGGUACUGCUAAGAUACAAUCAAAUUUCUGAAUAUUUUUAUGAUCACAGAUUUCUAUGCCACUUCUACUGAUUUAUUUAUUUUUGUUCAUAAAUUACCUAUUCAUUUUGCUUCAAAAACAAUGGCAUAUUAAAUAUGUAUAAUAAAUUUUACCUUAAAUCUAACAGACUUUAAGCAACACAACUCCAAUUCUGAGUUCAUGUGGUCUUUACACCUUUUUCAUACUUAUAUGAAACCCUACAAGCAGGUCUUCACCCAGUUGACACACAUAAAACACCACAAUUUCAUACGUGUCAACAUGUCACUGCAAAACUGAACUUCUUUAGACAAGGCACUCUCAAACAGUCACUCUUAUACAAAGGUGACGACUACAAAAUCCACUUGUAUUCCUGUAUAAGGCACUCAACAGAAAUACACAUGCAUUAUAGUUGAUAGACUACUGGAGUCCUGGCCAUCUGCUCUUUCUGUGUUUGAAGUGUGCAAGUACACAAGCAGGACUGUUAAGAGUUCAAGCUCAAGGUUAAGUAAGGCCCUUGCAUGCCACUUAAAUUCAUACAUUCACGCAUCCUUCCGCUGCAGCUUAGCAUACUCUAUAAACAGUAUGUUAACCUGAGCUCUUUGUUUAAAGCAAGAUAUUUCAUCAUUCUAUAGUA